GGCCCACCCGCGAGCAGCGGGGAAGGCGGGGACCCGGGCCCCGCGGGCCUGCAGCGCCCCCGCACCCGGUUCCACGCGCCCAGGGCCGCCCCCGCGGAGAGAGGGGGCGCGAGGGGCGCGCCUCUCGCUCGGACACCCUCUCCCAGCUCGCGCCCCAGGUAACUUAAACCCAAUUAUAAAUGGCUUUGGCUAUAAAGUGUUCUUGAAUGAAAACGUUUAGGAAGUAGGCCUGGAUUCAGAUGCUUCAGAGGCUCAAAGGAAACAGGAAUCGUGGCUAACCAAAUCCAGCCCAACUGCUUCCUUGUUCACAUGGGGAAAUCGAGGAAGGCCCGGGGAGAGGAAGGCCUGGGGAGAGGAAGUUACUUGCCCAAGUUGCCCAGUUAAUUAGCCACAGAACCCAUGUCCCCCAACUCUGAAACAAGUUCCAGUUAAAGUCUUCACUGAUAACUUUAAAUCCUCCACUAACCAAGGGAGUCAUCUUUGCAUUUGCACAGAGGAGAUGGGAAAAUCACAAAGCCCUUAAGGUUUUCUAAUUGUUUAUGGAGAAGAUUGAUCUUCACAAGCUAGUUUUUUCAUAGGCAAAAGCAAAAGUCUCUUCCUGUGUUAUUAAGUGAAAAUGGCUGAUUAUAAAAAGGCCCUGGGUCAGGAGGUUGCCGAUUCCAGGAAGAAUCAGACCUUAUCCCUGCCCUUGAGUCUCAAGAAGAGGAAAGGAAAACAAAUAAGCAUAGUACAGUGUGAAAAGUGGGACUGUGGUCAAAUUUCAGUCUGCAAACUCAGAAUGGAUGAAAUAUGAAAGACUGACAACAUCAAGUUGUCAAGUAGGACAGGAUGUGGAACCACUGGAACUCAUACGUGACUGAUGGGAAUGCAAAAUGAUACCGAUCCCUUGGAAAACUCCUUGGCAACUUUAAUAAACAUAAAUCUACCCUAUGAUCCAGAAAUUCCACUCUGAGUCACGUCUCCAAGAGCAAUGAAAAUAUAUACCCACAAAAGACUGCACAUAAAUCAGAACAGCAUUGUUGAUAAUAGCCCAAACUGGAAACAACCUAAAUAUUCACCAAUAGAAGCCUGAAUAAAUUCAUACUGUGGGAUACUCUACAGCAAUGAGAUCAUGAAAGAUAGUGUGGCUUCCACUUUGGUCUCUUAUAUCACCUACUGGGGGAAGCCAGCUGCCAUGUUGUGAGGACACUCAAGAAGCUCUGUGGAGAGGCUCUUUUGAAGGAGAACCAAUGCCUCCCACCAACAGCCAGCAUCAACUUGGGACAUGUGAGUGAACCAAUUGGAAGUGGAUCCUCCAGCCAAGUCAAGCCUUCAGAUGACUGAAGCCCCAGCCUCAUGAGAGAUAGCAGGCUAAAACUGCCCAGCUAAGCUGCUCCUGAAAUCCUGACCCCCCAAAUUAUAAAAGACAAUAAAUUAUUAUUGUUGUUUUAAGCCACUACAUGUUGGGGUGAUUCAUUAUGCAGCAACAGAUAAUAAAUACAUCACCCUUGUAUUCAUUACUGACGUUUAUUGGGAGCAUAGUGUGUGAUUUUUCAUUUAACCCUUCCAGUAAUGCUGUGAGAUAGGUAAGUUUAUUAUCCCCAUUUUACAGACAAAGAAACUGAGGUUCAGAAUGAGUGAAGUCUCUUCCCUGCAGAGUCCCUGACCUUAAGGAUUUUAUGGUCAGAUCUGAGAGACAGAAGCUCAAAAACCUAUGACUCUAGGCAAAAUAUGGCCCUGGGAUCCCAGGAUGGGGAGAGGAAUUUUGGAUUCUGGCUUCUACUUGGGCCUCAUAGCUUGGGAUGACAGAGGGUACACUCCAAAGGCAACAAACACCUUCCCUGCCCUUGAGCACCUGCUUAAUCAAGGGGAGAAAGUUCAGAUGCUUAUGCAUAAUGUGUGGUAUUUCUCUGCACAGAAACACACACGGGCCUGUACAGUAAUAAUGAAAAGCAACAACCCAUCUUAAGGGCUUGGCACUUUGCACUUACAAAGCCUUAUACAUCCCUAAUUCCAUGGAAUCACACCUGGCAGGUAAGCGUGGCCCUGUACACUUUACAGAUGGGGACACUGAGGUCAGGGAAGUUGUGUGAUUCUUGCAGAGCCAAGCAGCCUAGAAGUGGCAGAGUUCAGGUAAAACCCAGUAACUGGGUGUUUUACAAGUGCUAAGGGUAUGACAGGAGGUAGGCAGGGCUCCUCUGAGGGAGGUUUCAGGAAGAGGUCACCCGCGAGCAGGGUUCUGAGAAUGGGGAAGUGGCUUCGGGGAGAGGAUGGUGCCUGGGAGGGUUUGAGAGGAAACAGAGUGAGUCCCUAGGGGCUCCCAGGGUGUACGAGGGCAAAGAGGUGAACAUAGCUGGAGUGGAAAGAAUGAGAAAGCCUGGGUGUGUGGAAGAGCCUUGGUGUGUUAGGUGGAAUUGCAGCUGGAGGGUGUGUGCAGAAUGAGAGGUCUUGGUAUUGGGGCCAAAGUCAACUGCCACGCCUAAGGAGGGAGGAAGGCGCUUAUUUUGCUUCUUGGGUGAAAAUCAUUCCUGUGAUUUAGUUCUCCUUGGGGGAGGGGCGGGGUUUCAUCCAGCCUUAGCAAAUGCAUUCAAUCUUCACUACUUCUCUCUGUCAGAUGGGGUGGAUAGAGGUCCAAAUGUGGGCAGAAGCUUUUAUGUCCCAUCGCAGGGCAGCUAAGAACAGCUGCGCGGGUCGUUCACUGUACAUGGGCACUAGGCCAAAAGGGACUGAAAUCCGGACGGCCCUUUGUUUACUAAGCCAUGUGCCUGCAAGGCUGCACCUGCCCAGAAGGAAUGCUUCCUAUUUCUUUUCUUUAAAAAAAAAUUUUUUUUAUGAGCUAAAAUUCACAUAACAUAGAAUCUACCAUUUAAACCACUUUAAAGUAUAAAGUUCAGUGCUUUUAGUAUAGUCACAAUGUUGUGCAACCAUCACCACUAGCAGUUUUCGGAACAUUUCCAUCAUCCCAAAAAACAACUCCAUAACUCCUAAUUCCCCCCCUUUCCCCAUCUCUUGGCGACCAUGAAUCUGAACUUUCAUAUGAAUGGAGUUCUAUAAUUUGCUGUCUUCUGUGACUGUCUUCUUUCAUUUGGCAUUAAAACUUUUCAAGUUUUACCCAUGUUGUGGUAUGUGUCUGUACUUCAUUCCUUUUUAUGGCUCGAUAAUAUCGCAUUGUGUGAAUAUUCCACAAUUUGUGUAUCCCUUCAUGAGUUGAUGGACAUAUGGGUUAUAUCCACUGGCUGUUAAGAACAGGCGGGUCACGGUGGCUCACGCCUGAAAUCCCAGCACUUUGGGAGGCUGAGGUGGGCGGAUCACCUGAGGUCAGGAGUUCUAGAUCAGCUUUGCCAACACGGUGAAACCUUGUCUCUACCAAAUAUAUAAAAAUU
rnacentral:lncRNA from 10 species